AGGGGAUUAGUUGAGUGGCAAAAAUAUCUGGCUUACAUCCAGAGGGUCAUUGGUUCGAGUCCAAUAUCCCCUA
rnacentral:tRNA from 1 species